rnacentral:lncRNA from 1 species
AGCUAGCUAUUGUUGAGCACCCCUUUUGUGUCCCAUUUCCCGCUCUAGUUCCAAGAGUACCGUGUCUGCCUCCAAACCCAGGGUCUGGGAGUUAUAAUGAAUGAGGGAAGGACUGGGAAGGGGAAUCUGAGGUCACAUGGUAAGAUUUGGGAAGGGUGGGCUGGGCUAAAUAUGAAAUUAUUCACUUUUAAGCAUUGGCAACAUGUGUUCUUUUUGUUUAAUAAAGCAUUAUUAGGUUGAAAAACUCACCUGUGGGUUACGUGGAGCCUAGGUGUUUUGGGUAAGACCCAUCCUGGUCCACCAACACCCUCCUCCCUCUCCCUGGUGAUUCCAGCCUGAUGACAAGAAAGCUCAUGCGAAGGCACAGUGGGCCAAGUUGUGUGUCUGACACCUGGAGCAGACGGCAUUGGCUUUCUCCAUGUUAAUAAAUUGGUGCUUACAACACAUUGCUUCAGUGUUCCUUAGACUUUGCUGUCAUGGCCCAAGGUUGUUGUCACCUCCACCUGUACACUGCCACAUACCCAUUUGUGUGGGGUUGCAAUAAAAGUUUGGCACAAUCCUGACAACUCGAAGUUCAUGCCGACUUGAGGUUCCACUUCUGUCUCACCGCCAGGGUGUGUGAACUCUACUUGGGCAGGUGAAACCCAGAGGGCUAUGCUGCAUUUUACCCUACCGCCGCCAUCAGGUGUUGGGCGUGUGGGAAGUGCUUAUGCACCACUUGGGUGAGAGAAUGCAGCCUAAGAUGGGCGCCCCAGCCAGGAUGAGAAACAAGGCAGGCUGAGACUGAGGAGGCAGGGGUUCCCAAACUCCCAGCUGGGAACCUGUGGAGUCAGAACGAAGUGCUUCCCUCCUACCCCACCCCCCGGGCCUGCAAAGAUGCGCCCAGGACUAGGGAUUGGGGGGGCGAUAACUCUGGCUUAGCUCGAAUGCCCAAGAGCCCUGAGGGGCCUUCUGCGGGAGACUUGGGACCUAGGCUUCCCCACAGCCUGCGUGCUGGAUGGUUCUUCAUGAGAGACAGUCCUUGAUUCUAAAGUGUUUAUUGAUUGUUCAUCGUGCAGAAUAGGUGUAUACCACUUCCUCAGGGUAGAUCAGAGAUUAAAUGUCUUUUGCAGGAAGGAGUGUCCUAGAAGAGAAGCUUAUUAGCUAAACCUCUGAACCCAUCUAGAUACCUCAUUAGCAUAGAGAACUCUGUGUUCUGUGUUACGUGACCAGCAGUCAUGUUCUUUAUAUGGGGAGUUGUGGUCACUUGUUCCGGGCCAGGAGUCUGGUUGGGAGUAGGUGAAACACCUACUGUCCUCAGGUGGGUUGCAGGGUUUCUGAACCCACUUGGCCUUACUAAGAUUCCUGGCAUGGUCCACUGCCCUACACUGACUGUCCUAGUUUCCUGUCUGUUGCUAUGCUAAAAUAACAGCAUAAAAUAACUUAGGGGAGAAGGGGCUUAUCUGAACUUUUCAUUCCAGGUUCAUCAUGCUGUGACGUCACAAGGUCGGGGGCUUGAAACAGCUAGUUACAGCCCAUCCACAGUUGGGAACAGCUAGUUACAGCCCAUCCACAGUCGGGAACAGGGGGAAUAAAUGUGUGUUUGCUAGCUUGGGCCCAGUUGGAUUUCUCUCCAUUUAUUUUAUUUUUAAAAUCAAUCAAUCAAUCAAUCAAUCUUAUUUAUUUAUUUAUUUAUUUAUUUAUUUAUUUAAUGUGAGUACACUGUAGCUGUCUUCAGACACACCAGGAAGAGGGCAUCAGAUCUUAUUGCAGAUGGUUGUGAGCCACCAUGAGGUCUCUGUCUUAAAACUGCUGAGCCAUCUCUCUAGCCUGAUUUCUUUCCAUUUCUAAUAGUUUAAUUUUCCCUGAUUAGGGGAAUGCUACCCUCACAGUGGGCUGGCUCUUCCCACAUGAGUUAGCUGAUGAAGUUCCCACAGACAUACGCACAGGACAUUUCAGUGCAGACAACCUUGUGUUGAGACUGUCCAGGUUAUUCUGGGUUGUGUCAGGUUGACAGAGCUGUCCAGCACACUGAUGUUGCUUUCCCUAGGCUCUGCAUCAUUCAAGUGCUGGCCUGUUUAUCACACUCUGACUCGUCACUAAUAAUGGUUCUUAGCAAGCACUGCCUCUGCACAGUGGAAGCCAUGUUGUCAGAUUGGCAGAGCACUAGAUUGCAGGGUUUUAGGAAUCCCUGUUGUUUUUUUGUUUACUCUUAAAUUUGCACAUUUCUGGGAAGCCUGUUCAUAAUGCUGCUGCUGAGAAUGGCACUUUUAGUGUGUCCUGUCAUCAUUGUGAGACUUCAUGUGGGUCAUCUUACUGAGAGUACAUAAAACCUUGGACGGUCAGGCUGCCUGUGGCUCAGCCUUUACUUUUGAAUCCAGACCCUUCCAGAGGUCUGGAUUGCUUAGAUGCGCUGAUAGAGAACAUGGCAAGCAGGAAAAACAUGAUCAUAGAACUCUUCAAUGGAGCAAACUCAGCGAUGAUUGAGUCAAAACCCAAACCAUCUCAGAAUAAACCACUAAAAGGAAGUCAAGUGGAUAAGCAUAUUGUUCCCCAGAUACUAAAGGUCUAAGCAUGAACAACUCAUCUUCCAGAAGAGCCACCUGUAACUCCAGCUCCAGACGGUCUGAUAUCCCACCCCCACAGAACCCCCAGAGCACCACCCCCAAUACAUAUAAGUAAGAUUUAUUUUUAAAAUGUGAAAGUGAGAUAAUUACAAGAUGAAAAUGAUUUUUUUUUUGAGACAGGGUUUUUCUGUGUAGCCCUGGCUGUCUUGGAACUUGCUCUAUAGACCAGGCAGGCCUCAAAUUCAGAUCCAUCUGCCUCUGACCGCUGAGAUUAAACGCAUGCACCACCUCUGCCCAGC